rnacentral:tRNA from 1 species
GGCUUUAUAGUCAAUUUAUGAUAUCAGACUGCAAUUCUGAAGUAGUAUAUAUAUACUAAAGCUU